UUUGGUUCUAGCAGAGAUAUGACAUACCAGCAUAAGGAAUUCUCAUCAGGUUUAGAGAAACUGUGACAUAUUCUGAACCAGUCAGAUACAAUGAACCUUGAAAAUCAAAACUCUAUUUACCCUUACUGUUGUGUAACCAUUUGCAUUUUGUCUGUCUAACUUCUCUUACCAUAAUUCCAUGUUACAAGUUAAUGGAUAUUUGAGCAUAUUAGGUAGCUGGAAAACAAACUUCUGAGGUUCAUCCAUGAAUGGACUCAUACACAAAUGUGUAUGACCAUUUUAACCUGAUAUGGUAGGAGAUUCUCCAAUAGGAUAUUUGCUUGGAGGGAAUCAUGAAUAGCAGAAAAGCUAGCAACACUGAGACCAAAACUCACAGUGAAGAACUGUUAACUCUCCUUGGACCAGCAUAUAGACAGAACCAAGACACUACAUCUUUUUGCUUUGCUUCUCCAUCAUCACGUAACAGAGAGUUCAAGGAAACUGAGGACACUCCCCAGAUUUUUCUAACAAUCAACACCUGGAUAUCAGCACAACUGCAGGGGGCAUUUCCAUG